rnacentral:rRNA from 1 species
AGCGAACGCUGGCGGCAGGCUUAACACAUGCAAGUCGAGCGGGCCUUUCGGGGUCAGCGGCGGACGGGUGAGUAACGCGUGGGAACGUGCCCUCUGGUUCGGAAUAACUCAGGGAAACUUGAGCUAAUACCGGAUACGCCCUUGUGGGGAAAGGCUUGCUGCCGGAGGAUCGGCCCGCGUCUGAUUAGCUAGUUGGUGAGGUAACGGCUCACCAAGGCGACGAUCAGUAGCUGGUCUGAGAGGAUGAUCAGCCACACUGGGGCUGAGACACGGCCCAGACUCCUACGGGAGGCAGCAGUGGGGAAUAUUGGACAAUGGGCGCAAGCCUGAUCCAGCCAUGCCGCGUGAGUGAUGAAGGCCUUAGGGUUGUAAAGCUCUUUUAUCCGGGACGAUAAUGACGGUACCGGAGGAAUAAGCCCCGGCUAACUUCGUG